rnacentral:rRNA from 1 species
GACGAACGCUGGCGGCGUGCCUAAUACAUGCAAGUAGGACGCACAGUUUAUACCGUAGCUUGCUACACCAUAGACUGUGAGUUGCGAACGGGUGAGUAACGCGUAGGUAACCUACCUAUUAGAGGGGGAUAACUAUUGGAAACGAUAGCUAAUACCGCAUAACAGUAUGUAACACAUGUUAGAUGCUUGAAAGAUGCAAUUGCAUCGCUAGUAGAUGGACCUGCGUUGUAUUAGCUAGUAGGUAGGGUAAAGGCCUACCUAGGCAACGAUACAUAGCCGACCUGAGAGGGUGAUCGGCCACACUGGGACUGAGACACGGCCCAGACUCCUACGGGAGGCAGCAGUAGGGAAUCUUCGGCAAUGGGGGGGACCCUGACCGAGCAACGCCGCGUGAGUGAAGAAGGUUUUCGGAUCGUAAAGCUCUGUUGUUAAGGAAGAACGAGUGUGAGAAUGGAAAGUUCAUGCUGUGACG